rnacentral:sRNA from 1 species
CGCGCUCCCUACAAUUAUCAAUAAUUGAGCAUGUGGCCAUCACAAGGAUGAUGUAACACCAGCAGUUACGGGACUUAGUCGAUAACUGCCAACAAGGUGU